AGAGAGAUGGCUGAGUGGUUGAUAGCCUCAAUUUUGAAACCGAUAUAUUUUUGAACAAAGAACUAUCGAGGGUUCAAAUUCCUCUCUCAUUU
rnacentral:tRNA from 1 species